GUGGACAUUCGCUUCCCACAGAGCGGAGCUCCAGACCCUAACUGCGUCACUGUGACAGGACUCCCGGAGAAUGUGGAGGAAGCUAUCGACCAUAUCCUCAACCUAGAAGAGGAAUAUGUGAGUUCUGAGCAGGCAUGGUCUUAGGGCUGAGGCCCAGCCAUGAUCCUGGGAUGACAGCCAAGUAACUGUCUGCAUCCAAGUGCAAGGGCAAGCAGGGAGGUGGGUGGCUCCCCGGUGGCUGUCGGGAGAAGGCUCCACUGCCUGUGGCUGAGCAGGGAGGUGGGUGGCUCCCCGGUGGCUGUCGGGAGAAGGCUCCACUGCCUGUGGCUGAGCAGCUCCACCUUCCCUGUGCUGCUCAGCUGGCUGAUGUGGUGGACAGUGAGGCGCUGCAAGUUUACAUGAAGCCCCCAGCACAUGAAGAGUCCAAGGCACCAUCCAAAGGCUUUGUGGUGCGAGAUGCUCCCUGGACCUCCAACAGCAGUGAGAAGGCUCCUGAUAUGAGCAGCUCUGAAGAAUUCCCCAGCUUUGGGGCUCAAGUGGCCCCCAAGACCCUCCCGUGGGGCCCCAAACGAUAAUGAUCAAAAAGAAACCUUUCCAGCCUGCUGCCCAAACCCAACCACACAAUGGUUUGUCUCAAUCUGACUCAGCAGCUGGACCCUCGUAAAUUGUUGAUGCUCCCCCUCCCCGAGGUCUCGCAGCAAAGCCUGGUGGGCUGGCCUUCUGUGGCUGCUUCCCCAGGCCUGGUCAGCACCCGCAGGCUCAGGGUCUGCUCCUGACGCUGUGCUCUGGGAAAGGCACGCCACUGCGUGAAACACUAAGCAAGGUAAUCGAGCAUUUCGUGAUCACAGACUCCAGCUUCCUGGUCCACCCAGCAUGUAGUCAGCACUCUGACCUUCACAGCAGAGCUCCACAGCGGCUAGGAGUUGACUUCCUGUGUCAUGACCUCAGGAAAUAAAUUUCCUUGACUUUAUAAAAGCC
rnacentral:lncRNA from 1 species